rnacentral:rRNA from 1 species
AUUGAACGCUGGCGGCAGGCUUAACACAUGCAAGUCGAGCGGGGAAGAGUAGCUUGCUACUUGACCUAGCGGCGGACGGGUGAGUAAUGCUUAGGAAUCUGCCUAUUAGUGGGGGACAACAUCUCGAAAGGGAUGCUAAUACCGCAUACGUCCUACGGGAGAAAGCAGGGGACCUUCGGGCCUUGCGCUAAUAGAUGAGCCUAAGUCGGAUUAGCUAGUUGGUGGGGUAAAGGCCUACCAAGGCGACGAUCUGUAGCGGGUCUGAGAGGAUGAUCCGCCACACUGGGACUGAGACACGGCCCAGACUCCUACGGGAGGCAGCAGGGGGGAAUAUUGGACAAUGGGGGGAACCCUGAUCCAGCCAUGCCGCGUGUGUGAAGAAGGCCUUUUGGUUGUAAAGCACUUUAAGCGAGGAGGAGGCUACCGAGAUUAAUACUCUUGGAUAGUGGACGUUACUCGCAGAAUAAGCACCGGCUAACUCUGUG